rnacentral:rRNA from 1 species
GACGAACGCUGGCGGCGUGCUUAACACAUGCAAGUCGAACGGAAAGGCCCUGCUUUUGUGGGGUUCUCGAGUGGCGAACGGGUGAGUAACACGUGAGUAACCUGCCCUUGACUUUGGGAUAACUUCAGGAAACUGGUGCUAAUACCUGAUAGGAGCUCCUGCUGCAUGGUGGGGGUUGGAAAGCUUGGGCUGUUGGGGAUGGACUCGCGGCUUAGCAGCUUGUUGGUUGGGUAGUGGCUUACCAAAGCGUUGACGGGUAGCCGGCCUGAGAGGGUGACCGGCCACAUUGGGACUGAGAUACGGCCCAGACUCCUACGGGAGGCAGCAGUGGGGAAUAUUGCACAAUGGGCGGAAGCCUGAUGCAGCAACGCCGCGUGCGGGAUGACGGCCUUCGUGUUGUAAACCGCUUUCGCCUGUGACGAAGCGUGAGUGACGGUAAUGGGUAAAGAAGCACCGGCUAACUACGUG